rnacentral:rRNA from 1 species
CUUGCUCUGGUGGCGAGUGGCGAACGGGUGAGUAAUAUAUCGGAACGUACCCUAGAGUGGGGGAUAACGUAGCGAAAGUUACGCUAAUACCGCAUACGAUCUAAGGAUGAAAGUGGGGGAUCGCAAGACCUCAUGCUCGUGGAGCGGCCGAUAUCUGAUUAGCUAGUUGGUAGGGUAAAAGCCUACCAAGGCAUCGAUCAGUAGCUGGUCUGAGAGGACGACCAGCCACACUGGAACUGAGACACGGUCCAGACUCCUACGGGAGGCAGCAGUGGGGAAUUUUGGACAAUGGGCGAAAGCCUGAUCCAGCAAUGCCGCGUGAGUGAGGAAGGCCUUCGGGUUGUAAAGCUCUUUUGUCAGGGAAGAAACGGUGAGAGCUAAUAUCUCUUGCUAAUGACGGUACCUGAAGAAUAAGCACCGGCUAACUACGUGCCAGCAGCCGCGGUGAUACGUAGGGUGCAAGCGUUAAUCGGAAUUACUGGGCGUAAAGCGUGCGCAGGCGGUUUUGUAAGUCUGAUGUGAAAUCCCCGGGCUCAACCUGGGAAUUGCAUUGGAGACUGCAAGGCUAGAAUCUGGCAGAGGGGGGUAGAAUUCCACGUGUAGCAGUGAAAUGCGUAGAUAUGUGGAGGAACACCGAUGGCGAAGGCAGCCCCCUGGGUCAAGAUUGACGCUCAUGCACGAAAGCGUGGGGAGCAAACAGGAUUAGAUACCCUGGUAGUCCACGCCCUAAACGAUGUCUACUAGUUGUCGGGUCUUAAUUGACUUGGUAACGCAGCUAACGCGUGAAGUAGACCGCCUGGGGAGUACGGUCGCAAGAUUAAAACUCAAAGGAAUUGACGGGGACCCGCACAAGCGGUGGAUGAUGUGGAUUAAUUCGAUGCAACGCGAAAAACCUUACCUACCCUUGACAUGGCUGAAAUCCUUGAGAGAUCAGGGAGUGCUCGAAAGAGAACCAGUACACAGGUGCUGCAUGGCUGUCGUCAGCUCGUGUCGUGAGAUGUUGGGUUAAGUCCCGCAACGAGCGCAACCCUUGUCAUUAGUUGCUACGAAAGGGCACUCUAAUGAGACUGCCGGUGACAAACCGGAGGAAGGUGGGGAUGACGUCAAGUCCUCAUGGCCCUUAUGGGUAGGGCUUCACACGUCAUACAAUGGUACAUACAGAGCGCCGCCAACCCGCGAGGGGGAGCUAAUCGCAGAAAGUGUAUCGUAGUCCGGAUUGUAGUCUGCAACUCGACUGCAUGAAGUUGGAAUCGCUAGUAAUCGCGGAUCAGCAUGUCGCGGUGAAUACGUUCCCGGGUCUUGUACACACCGCCCGUCACACCAUGGGAGCGGG